ACGGAGGAUGCGAGCGUUAUCCGGAUUUAUUGGGUUUAAAGGGUGCGUAGGCGGCACGCCAAGUCAGCGGUGAAAUUUUCGGGCUCAACCCGGACUGUGCCGUUGAAACUGGCGAGCUAGAGUGCACAAGAGGCAGGCGGAAUGCGUGGUGUAGCGGUGAAAUGCAUAGAUAUCACGCAGAACCCCGAUUGCGAAGGCAGCCUGCUAGGGUGCGACAGACGCUGAGGCACGAAAGCGUGGGUAUCGAACAG
rnacentral:rRNA from 1 species